AAGCAUUCUGUGGUUAUAUGACAGAUUAUGUGACAUAUUUGUUGCAUUGGUUGGAUUUGAAGGGAUACAUUUAAUUAAUCUGAGUUUCAGAAAUGGCUUUGAACUGAUCAUAAAAACAUUGGAUUCCUCUGAGUUUAGAAACUAAAUGAGGACACCCAAUGCUUUGAAAGGUGUCUUGCUCAUUCCUUCGGGGAAAGUAUCCCAGUUUAAUGUAGUCAGUGAUUAUUUUGGCUUCCAUGUCUUUUCCAGUGCCUGCUCAUGAAGGAUGUGUGACAUAGAUGACCUCAGAUAUUUGCAGUCAUCCAGUCUGGAGAGGAACAAGAAUUCUGCACACAGUGUGGCAGAAAGCCUUUGUCCUUACUGCCCCGAGGAGGAACAAGUGUGAAAUGGGAGCAGUAAUUACUUCCUGUGCUGUAAAGUCAUUGAGAAGUUUCAAGGCAUGUCGUUCUGGGUGAUGAGAAACAAAACUGAACAAAGUAGAAAUGUGAUCAGAAAAACAAUGAGAGCAGAACUUGAUCUGCUUGCAGGAAAAAGAAAUACAGAUGCAGUAUUUUACAGGUGC
rnacentral:lncRNA from 1 species